rnacentral:rRNA from 1 species
AGUGAACACUGGCGGUAGGCCUAACACAUGCAAGUCGAACGGCAGCACAGUAAGAGCUUGCUCUUACGGGUGGCGAGUGGCGGACGGGUGAGGAAUACAUCGGAAUCUACUUUUUCGUGGGGGAUAACGUAGGGAAACUUACGCUAAUACCGCAUACGACCUACGGGUGAAAGCAGGGGAUCUUCGGACCUUGCGCGAUUGAAUGAGUCGAUGUCGGAUUAGCUAGUUGGCGGGGUAAAGGCCCACCAAGGCGACGAUCCGUAGCUGGUCUGAGAGGAUGAUCAGCCACACUGGAACUGAGACACGGUCCAGACUCCUACGGGAGGCAGCAGUGGGGAAUAUUGGACAAUGGGCGCAAGCCUGAUCCAGCCAUACCGCGUGGGUGAAGAAGGCCUUCGGGUUGUAAAGCCCUUUUGUUGGGAAAGAAAAGCAGCAGGUUAAUACCCCGCUGUUCUGACGGUACCCAAAGAAUAAGCACCGGCUAACUUCGUG